CUUGCAUGCCAUCCUUAUGUUUUUCAUGCUAAUCUUUCUUGAGAGGAGGCACUAAUCACUUAAGAGGAGCACCCCAUGGUUCCACAUUAAAAACUGAUGCCUCUAAGAUUUUGGAUAGAGUCCUAAGGUGUUAGGACUCUUUAGAAUUAAGUUGCGCCACAACUUUUUGUGUGCUCCUUUUGUCCGUGCAAAAAUCAAAACUCAUAGUGAUUUCUUAUAAGGCAUG
rnacentral:lncRNA from 1 species